rnacentral:rRNA from 1 species
UACGGAGGGUGCAAGCGUUAUCCGGAUUCACUGGGUUUAAAGGGUGCGUAGGUGGGUCUGUAAGUCAGUGGUGAAAUCUCCGAGCUUAACUUGGAAACUGCCAUUGAUACUAUAGAUCUUGAAUAUUGUGGAGUCAGCGGAAGUAUGUCAUGUAGCGGUGAAAUGCUUAGAUAAUGACAUAGAACACCAAAUUUGCGAAAGGCAGCCUGGCUACACAUAUAUUGACACUGAGG